GCUGACACGUGUCCCAGGAGCAAAACUCAUUGUUUCAAUUAUAUGUUUUCACGUGAUUAAGCCCGAAGAUAGCGAGACAGCCGCAAGAUUUUUUAGGGUUUGGUGUUCUUCUUCCACAAUUAAACGAACAAUCUUCUCUUUCGAUCUCUGAUACAACUAUGGAGUUUCGAUAUCUUCAAUCCACGUGAGAAUUGCUUUGCGAAUCUUCGACCUGAGGGUUCAUCAUCCUCUACAGCAAGCUCUGAUACGGUCAACCAACAAUGGAGGGGGAAAGUUUGUGUGAGAUGAGUGUUGGUGAGGAAUCUCUGCAUCGAUCUCGGUUAAUGUCAGACUCAUUGCUCAACAUGAAAGUUCAGAUCUUAGAUUGUUCGGGACCAACAACAAGCUUAACUGCUUUGCAUCUAUGACAGAGAGAUUUUAAUGUUUAACCUCUAAACAUGUUCUUGACUCCUUUAGCCAUCUCUACUUCAAUGUGUGGGUUAUCUUCUGAGAGGCGGAUAUAAAAAGGCUGGCAGUUGUUUGUGUGGCUGCUCAGAUGUGUGAAACGAGUGAAACCGAAGCAGAUUGAUCUCUUAGUUCCAGUGACAUAAGAAACUUUCUCCGUGUCAUCAUCUUUACUGCAAGAGGGUGGCGCAUAUCAUAGAUUCAAUCACUAUGCUUACCUUGACAUGUCUUGGUCUCGGUAAGUCACCAAUCUGUUUUUUUGUAAUGUUUUUAAGUUUUGAAAGUCGAGCUUUUGUAUAACUCCUACAAGCUCAUCAUCUUCCACCAAAUGUUUCUCAACUGUCAACUACUGUAUUAACUCUAAUGAUCUUUCCUAAUCAUAUUCUCUUCCAGUUUCUUCAGUUUAUGGGAUGCAGAUCAUUGUUUACACGUUAGUAUAAACUUUGAAACGUUCUUUAUGCGCUUUCAUAAAUAAGAACUAUCUGAAUCUUUUCCUCUUCAGCAGCCAUGUGAUUUUUGGAUGGAUUUUGGUGACUGUUACAUUCAUCUUGAGCGGAACACUCCUUCUGCUACAAAAUUAUGUCUCAUGACAGUUCAUUAGCUUCUUCUUUCAUUGAAAAACUUUAAUUUGCUUCUUUGAGCAUUAGUGCAACUACAGACACAUGUGUAGCACGGAGUGUAUUAGUAGAGAAAGCCGCAAGCAACACGGCUCUAGACGAGAUCUUGCCUUGCAUAUACAAUUCUACAGCUCAAGUUGUGUUUAAAAUGGCGCAUGGCGCACCAAGGCGAGACGGUCCUAGCCUUGCGCCUUACGCCAUGGCGCAAUAAGGUGCUCGCCUUGAAGAAGCUAUUAAUCUGUGACAAAGUAACACAGGAAUCUAUUAGAAGAAUAAGCACAAACGAGAUUGGAAAGAGUAGAGACUAGAGAGUUCUAACCUUAAGCAAAAAACCUUGAGAUCUAUGUUUAUGUUUAGUUACGUAACUUGUCUUUUAUAAAGCUAGGGCUUUCAUAGUUAUUUAGACAUUUAAGUUUCCCGAAGCUUAAGUAUUUUAGACGUCUAAGGUUUAAUUAUUAAUUAAGGUUUGGUUUCAUACCUGGUUUAGUCCGGUUUACAUAUAGUCUCCAUGGCAUGCCUUACGCCCGCCUUGGAUAUGCUCGCCUUCUGGCCAAGGCGCUCCAUGGCGUGCGCCUUAUGGAACCCACCCUCGCCUAGGAGGUACAUGGCGAUGGAGCCGUCGCCUGAGUGCGCCUCGCGCCAUGGCGCAAAAGGCGAGCGCCAUUUUAAACACAGAGCUCAAGCAAAUUUGAUAUGUAUCAAAGAGUUGACGGUCAGCUCGUGGAGCUCAGUAGUUGUACCAUUGUUCAUGAGAUGGUUAAUUAUGUUGACUGAAUGCUAACAAGAACUGUUACGCCGUUGAUUUGAUGUUGAUCUGUAUAUAACGAUCAUGUAUCACAGUUUCUCUAAAAUGUUGGUUGACUAAUGGAUGGUGAUUAUUUAUAAUGUACCAAGAUCCAACAUACCAGGAGUUUGUUAAUAUUUGCUUAGGAGAUGGUCUACGAAAAGUGCUCAGGUCAUGGGGGUUGAUGGGGAGAAAUCAGCUGUCCAGGUAUAUAGCCAUGUCCAAGAAUUGGUAUAUCUGCUCCUGUCUAUCAUCAUUGGUGAUGGAGAAAAAUUGAAGCAUCAACACCACUGCAAAGAAGCAGAGUCAGCAGAAGCCGAAGCAUAAGCAGCUCAAGCUUACGCUGAAGAAGCUUCAAAGACAUUGAGUGGACGAAACAUCUGCAAAAUGAUGGUUUGUAUGAGAGGUGACAUAGGAUGAAGAAGAAUGUGUUGCAGGUGAACAGAGAGAGAAGCGUAGAAGUAGUGUCUGUUAUUGAUUCUCUACUUGGAAACUCUUUUUAGUUGUAAACAGUAAUCUCAAAUGCUAAAACUCUUUCUAUCUGUAACAAAUAAUUCUUUAGCUGGAGAAUUUUUGCAGAUUAAAAAUGUGUUAUAUAUUGUGAAAUUGGAAAGA